rnacentral:rRNA from 1 species
UACGGAGGGUGCAAGCGUUGUCCGGAUUUAUUGGGUUUAAAGGGUGCGUAGGCGGCUUUUUAAGUCAGUGGUGAAAGUUUUGGGCUCAACCCAGAAACUGCCAUUGAUACUGGGGAGCUUGAGUAUUGGAGGGGUACAUGGAAUUGAUGGUGUAGCGGUGAAAUGCAUAGAUACCAUCAGGAACACCGAUAGCGAAGGCAUUGUACUGGCCAAUAACUGACGCUGAUGCACGAAAGCAUGGGUAGCGAACAGG